rnacentral:lncRNA from 1 species
GUUGAAACCAUGAUAUACCAUGAUAGUGAAGUGCCCGAAAUUGGUAUGCUUUGUUUAUUGGAUGUGUGGUGCAUUGGCACAGAAAUCUGUUGGUGGAUAAUGAGUUGCAUAUAUUUUACAUAAUUAUAAAUAUGGCAUCAAAAUGUUGAAAAUCUGAUUUCCCCCAAGCUGAUCAUUGUCUGCAGCCAGCUCUGAUUGUAGUGGAAUGAAACAGGCAGGGAGAGUGAGUGAGCUCGUUUAUGGUGGUCGGCGAACCCCCAACCUUCUGGCCCGUGGCCCUGUGUGGCAUCGAUUGUGCCACAAAAGCAUGCUGAAGUUGCAAAGUUGAUAUCCACGUUUCUAAACACAGGGUAGUAGACAGCUGGUGACAUCCUGAAAGAGAUCGCCGUCCGACAAACUGCUAUCAGCAAAGACUUUCUCAAAGUCAUCUUUAAAAGAGGCCCUGCUCUCCUGUGGAACAUUGAUGUCUAG